CCUACGGGAGGCAGCAGUAGGGAAUCUUCCGCAAUGGACGAAAGUCUGACGGAGCAACGCCGCGUGAGUGAUGAAGGUUUUCGGAUCGUAAAGCUCUGUUGUUAGGGAAGAACAAGUGGCAAGAGUAACUGCUUGCACCUUGACGGUACCUAACCAGAAAGCCACGGCUAACUACGUGCCAGCAGCCGCGGUAAUACGUAGGUGGCAAGCGUUGUCCGGAAUUAUUGGGCGUAAAGGGCUCGCAGGCGGUUUCUUAAGUCUGAUGUGAAAGCCCCCGGCUCAACCGGGGAGGGUCAUUGGAAACUGGGAAACUUGAGUGCAGAAGAGGAGAGUGGAAUUCCACGUGUAGCGGUGAAAUGCGUAGAGAUGUGGAGGAACACCAGUGGCGAAGGCGACUCUCUGGUCUGUAACUGACGCUGAGGAGCGAAAGCGUGGGGAGCGAACAGGAUUAGAUACCCUGGUAGUCCACGCCGUAAACGAUGAGUGCUAAGUGUUAGGGGGUUUCCGCCCCUUAGUGCUGCAGCUAACGCAUUAAGCACUCCGCCUGGGGAGUACGGUCGCAAGACUGAAACUCAAAGGAAUUGACGGGGGCACCGCACAAGCAGAGUCGGAGCAAUGUGGUUUAAUUCGAAGCAACGCGAAGAACCUUAC
rnacentral:rRNA from 1 species